CUUAACACAUGCAAGCCGAACGGUAAGGCUCGACUUGUCGAGUACACGAGUGGCGAACGGGUGAGUAACGCGUAUGCAACUUACCUCUAACUGGAGCAUAGCCCGAAGAAAUUCGGAUUAAUACUCCAUAAUAUCCUGAAAUUACAUGAUUUUUGGAUUAAAGCUCCGGCGGUUAGAGAUGGGCAUGCGUGCCAUUAGCUUGUUGGUGAGGUAACGGCUCACCAAGGCAACGAUGGCUAGGGGGUCUUAAAGGAUGGUCCCCCACACUGGUACUGAGACACGGACCAGACUCCUACGGGAGGCAGCAGUGAGGAAUAUUGGUCAAUGGGUGCAAGCCUGAACCAGCCAUGCCGCGUGCAGGAUGGAUGCCCUACGGGUUGUAAACUGCUUUUAUACUAGAAGAACUCUCUCGACGUGUCGGGAGCUGACUGUAUAGUAAGAAUAAGGAUCGGCUAACUCCGUGCCAGCAGCCGCGGUAAUACGGAGGAUCCAAGCGUUAUCCGGAUUUAUUAGGUUUAAAGGGUGCGCAGGCGGGAUAAUAAGUCAGUGGUGAAAUACUACAGCUUAACUGUAGAACUGCCAUUGAUACUGUUAUUCUUGAGUAUAGUUGAGGUGGGUGGAAUGUGACAAGUAGCGGUGAAAUGCUUAGAUAUGUCACAGAACGCCAAUUGCGAAGGCAGCUCACUAAACUAUUACUGACGCUGAGGCACGAAAGCGUGGGGAGCGAACAGGAUUAGAUACCCUGGUAGUCCACGCUGUAAACGAUGAUUACUGGAUGUGUGCGAUACAUUGUGCGCGUCUGAGUGAAAGCAUUAAGUAAUCCACCUGGGGAGUACGUCGGCAACGAUGAAACUCAAAGGAAUUGACGGGGGCCCGCACAAGCGGAGGAACAUGUGGUUUAAUUCGAUGAUACGCGAGGAACCUUACCUGGACUUAAAUGCAGAACGACCGCCACCGAAAGGUGGUUUCCCUUCGGGGCGGACUGCAAGGUGCUGCAUGGUUGUCGUCAGCUCGUGCCGUGAGGUGUCGGGUUAAGUCCCAUAACGAGCGCAACCCCCAUUGUUAGUUGCCAGCUGGUAAAGCAGGGGACUCUAACAAAACUGCCGGUGUAAACCGUGAGGAAGGUGGGGAUGACGUCAAAUCAGCACGGCCCUUAUGUUCAGGGCUACACACGUAUUACAAUGGUCGGUACAAAGAGCAGCCACUUGGCAACAAGGAGCUAAUCUCGAAAACCGAUCUCAGUUCGGAUCGAAGUCUGCAACUCGACUUCGUGAAGGUGGAUUCGCUAGUAAUCGUAUAUCAGCAAUGAUACGGUGAAUACGUUCCCGGGCCUUGUACACACCGCCCGUCAAGCCAUGGAAGCUGGGGGUACCUAAAGUCUGUAACCGCAAGGAGCGGCCUAGGGUAAAACCAGUGACUGGGGCUAAGUCGGAACAAGGUA
rnacentral:rRNA from 1 species